rnacentral:rRNA from 1 species
GUGGGGAAUUUUGCGCAAUGGGGGAAACCCUGACGCAGCAACGCCGCGUGAGUGAUGAAGGCCUUCGGGUCGUAAAGCUCUGUCAGAGGGGAAGAAGUGUGGGGUGGCUAAUAUCCAUUUCACUUGACGGUACCUUCAAAGGAAGCACCGGCUAACUCCGUGCCAGCAGCCGCGGUAAUACGGAGGGUGCGAGCGUUGUUCGGAAUUAUUGGGCGUAAAGCGCGUGUAGGCGGUUUUUUAAGUCUGAUGUGAAAGCCGUGGGCUCAACCCGGGAAGUGCAUUGGAAACUGGGAGACUUGAAUACGGGAGAGGGCAGUGGAAUUCCUGGUGUAGGAGUGAAAUCCGUAGAUAUCAGGAGGAACACCGGUGGCGAAGGCGGCUGCCUGGACCGAUAUUGACGCUGAGACGCGAAAGCGUGGGGAGCAAACAGGAUUAGAUACCCGUGUAGUCC